UACACUCCUACGGGAGGCAGCAGUGAGGAAUAUUGGACAAUGGGUGGAAGCCUGAUCCAGCCAUCCCGCGUGCAGGAAGACGGCCCUAUGGGUUGUAAACUGCUUUUAUCUGGGGAUAAACCUACUUACGUGUAAGUAGCUGAAGGUACCAGAAGAAUAAGCACCGGCUAACUCCGUGCCAGCAGCCGCGGUAAUACGGAGGGUGCAAGCGUUAUCCGGAUUUAUUGGGUUUAAAGGGUCCGUAGGCGGACUGAUAAGUCAGUGGUGAAAUCCGACAGCUUAACUGUCGAACUGCCAUUGAUACUGUUAGUCUUGAGUAAGGUUGAAGUGGCUGGAAUAAGUAGUGUAGCGGUGAAAUGCAUAGAUAUUACUUAGAACACCAAUUGCGAAGGCAGGUCACUAAGUCUUAACUGACGCUGAUGGACGAAAGCGUGGGGAGCGAAUAGGAUUAGAAACCCUAGUAGUCCC
rnacentral:rRNA from 1 species